rnacentral:rRNA from 1 species
UUAGGAAUUUUGGGCAAUGGGCGCAAGCCUGACCCAGCAACGCCGCGUGGGUGACGAAGGCCUUCGGGUUGUAAAGCCCUUUUCUGGGGGAAGAUGAUGACGGUACCCCAGGAAGAAGCACCGGCUAACUACGUGCCAGCAGCCGCGGUAAUACGUAGGGUGCAAGCGUUGCCCGGAUUUAUUGGGCGUAAAGGGCGCGCAGGCGGCUCGGCACGUCCGUUGUGAAAUCGCCCGGCUCAACUGGGCGGGGUCAGCGGAUACGGUCGAGCUUGAGCAAGCUAGGGGGCAAUGGAAUUCCCGGUGUAGUGGUGGAAUGCGUAGAUAUCGGGAGGAACACCAGUGGCGAAGGCGGUUGCCUGGAGCUUUGCUGACGCUGAGGCGCGAAAGCGUGGGGAGCGAUCCGGAUUAGAUACCCGCGUAGUCC